rnacentral:rRNA from 1 species
CGCCUGUUUAACAAAAACAUCUCUUCUUGUUUGUUUAUUAACCUGCCCACUGAAUUUUAUGAAGAGCCGCGGUAAUUUGACCGUGCAAAAGUAGCAUAGUCAUUAGUCUUUUAAUUGAAGACUUGUACGAAUGGUUGGACGAGAUGAAUACUGUCUUAUUAUUAUUUGUUGAAUUUAAUUUUUGACUUGAAAAGCUUAAAUGAUUUUUUUGGGACGAGAAGACUCUGUAGAGUUUAACAGUUGUUACUUUGUUGUUUUGUUGCUUAUUUUGUGUUUUGCAAUGGCUUAUUUACUUUGUUGGGGCGAUGGGAAGAUUAUAAUAACUCUUUUUUUUUUGUUUAUUGAUUUAUAUACUGUUGAUCCAUGAUUUUGUGAUUAUAAGUUUAAAUUACCUUAGGGACAACAGCAUAACCGUUUUUGAGAGUUCUUAUCGGCUAAAGGGAUGACGACCUUGGUGUUGGAUUAAGAUUUAUAUUGGAUGUAGAAGUUCAUUUAUUGGGCCUGUUCGACCUUUAAAAUCUUACGUGAUCUGAGUUCAGACCGG